UACAGAGGGGGCAAGCGUUGUUCGGAAUUACUGGGCGUAAAGGGCGCGUAGGCGGCCUGUUAAGUCGAACGUGAAAUCCCCGGGCUCAACCCGGGAACUGCGUCCGAUACUGGCAGGCUUGAAUCCGGGAGAGGGAUGCGGAAUUCCAGGUGUAGCGGUGAAAUGCGUAGAUAUCUGGAGGAACACCAAUGGCGAAGGCAGCCCCCUGGGUCGAUACUGACGCUCAUGCACGAAAGCGUGGGUAGCAAACAGG
rnacentral:rRNA from 1 species